UACGUAGGGUCCAAGCGUUGUCCGGAUUUAUUGGGUUUAAAGGGUGCGUAGGCGGUCCUAUAAGUCAGUUGUGAAAUACGGCAGCUUAACUGUCGAGGUGCAAUUGAUACUGCAGGACUUGAGUACAGACGAGGUAGGCGGAAUUGACGGUGUAGCGGUGAAAUGCUUAGAUAUCGUCAAGAACACCGAUAGCGAAGGCAGCUUACUAGACUGUAACUGACGCUGAUGCACGAAAGUGUGGGGAUCAAACAGG
rnacentral:rRNA from 1 species